rnacentral:rRNA from 1 species
UGCAAGUCGAACGAACUCUGGGUAUUGAUUGGUGCUUGCAUCAUGAUUUACAUUUGAGUGAGUGGCGAACUGGUGAGUAACACGUGGGAAACCUGCCCAGAAGCGGGGGAUAACACCUGGAAACAGAUGCUAAUACCGCAUAACAACUUGGACCGCAUGGUCCGAGUUUGAAAGAUGGCUUCGGCUAUCACUUUUGGAUGGUCCCGCGGCGUAUUAGCUAGAUGGUGGGGUAACGGCUCACCAUGGCAAUGAUACGUAGCCGACCUGAGAGGGUAAUCGGCCACAUUGGGACUGAGACACGGCCCAAACUCCUACGGGAGGCAGCAGUAGGGAAUCUUCCACAAUGGACGAAAGUCUGAUGGAGCAACGCCGCGUGAGUGAAGAAGGGUUUCGGCUCGUAAAACUCUGUUGUUAAAGAAGAACAUAUCUGAGAGUAACUGUUCAGGUAUUGACGGUAUUUAACCAGAAAGCCACGGCUAACUACGUGCCAGCAGCCGCGGUAAUACGUAGGUGGCAAGCGUUGUCCGGAUUUAUUGGGCGUAAAGCGAGCGCAGGCGGUUUUUUAAGUCUGAUGUGAAAGCCUUCGGCUCAACCGAAGAAGUGCAUCGGAAACUGGGAAACUUGAGUGCAGAAGAGGACAGUGGAACUCCAUGUGUAGCGGUGAAAUGCGUAGAUAUAUGGAAGAACACCAGUGGCGAAGGCGGCUGUCUGGUCUGUAACUGACGCUGAGGCUCGAAAGUAUGGGUAGCAAACAGGAUUAGAUACCCUGGUAGUCCAUACCGUAAACGAUGAAUGCUAAGUGUUGGAGGGUUUCCGCCCUUCAGUGCUGCAGCUAACGCAUUAAGCAUUCCGCCUGGGGAGUACGGCCGCAAGGCUGAAACUCAAAGGAAUUGACGGGGGCCCGCACAAGCGGUGGAGCAUGUGGUUUAAUUCGAAGCUACGCGAAGAACCUUACCAGGUCUUGACAUACUAUGCAAAUCUAAGAGAUUAGACGUUCCCUUCGGGGACAUGGAUACAGGUGGUGCAUGGUUGUCGUCAGCUCGUGUCGUGAGAUGUUGGGUUAAGUCCCGCAACGAGCGCAACCCUUAUUAUCAGUUGCCAGCAUUAAGUUGGGCACUCUGGUGAGACUGCCGGUGACAAACCGGAGGAAGGUGGGGAUGACGUCAAAUCAUCAUGCCCCUUAUGACCUGGGCUACACACGUGCUACAAUGGAUGGUACAACGAGUUGCGAACUCGCGAGAGUAAGCUAAUCUCUUAAAGCCAUUCUCAGUUCGGAUUGUAGGCUGCAACUCGCCUACAUGAAGUCGGAAUCGCUAGUAAUCGCGGAUCAGCAUGCCGCGGUGAAUACGUUCCCGGGCCUUGUACACACCGCCCGUCACACCAUGAGAGUUUGUAACACCCAAAGUCGGUGGGGUAACCUUUUAGGAACC